CCUGUCUGUACAGGUCGGGAUGUGGUCCGAAGGGGCUGAACCAGCAA
rnacentral:ncRNA from 1 species